GUUAAGUGUAAUUGAUUUUUCGGUUAAACCAAUUUUAAUCGUUUUAUUUGUGUAUAGUUCUUGAAAAACAAUCAUUUGUGCUUUUUUGUGCCAAAGCAACAACAUCAACAACUGCAAAAGGAAGGGUUCUCCACAUUUGCUGCGUUGAACGAAGCUCUGUACGAAUCUCAGAAGAGGGAAGGGUAUAAAGAGACUACACGAAGAAAGGCGACGACCAGUGCAGAUAAAGGAUCGGACCAUUGAGGAUGAUGGGGAAGAAG